AUGGCCCUAGCAGACGUCGAUGUGGAGAUCGGGGGACUGCCGGCGGAGCACCGUCUGCGGAUCAUCGGCGACGGUUCCGUCGACGACGACGGCAAGCCGAAGAGAACGGGAACCGUAUGGACAGCUAGCGCGCACAUCAUAACGGCGGUGAUCGGCUCCGGCGUGUUGUCCCUGCCCUGGUCCAUGGCGCAGCUUGGCUGGGUCGCUGGGCCGGCCACGCUUGUUGUCUUCGCCGGCGUCACGUACUACACCUCCGUGCUCCUCACCGACUGCUACCGCAGCGGCGACGCCGUCGCCGGGAAGAGGAACUACACCUACAUGGAGGCCGUCGAGUCCUACCUAGGCAGCGGGCAAGUGUGGUUCUGCGGCCUCUGCCAGUACGUCAACCUCGUCGGAACCGCAAUCGGGUACACCAUCACGGCGUCCACCAGCGCCACGGCUCUGUAUAAGGCCAACUGCUUCCACAGCGGCGGCCACUCCGCCGACUGCGGCGUGUACACCACCAUGUACAUGGUCGUGUUCGGGGUCUCCCAAUCAAUGUGA
rnacentral:rRNA from 1 species